CCCUUAGAUGUCCGGGGCUGCACGCGCGCUACACUGAAGGAAUCAGCGUGCUAAAACCAUUGUCGAAAGGCAUUGGUAAACCCAUUAAAAUCCUACGUGAUUGGGAUCGGGAAUUGCAAUUAUUUCCCUUGAACGAGGAAUUCCCAGUAAGUGUGGGUCAUAAGCUCGCGUUGAUUAUGUCCCUGCCCUUUGUACACACCGCCCGUCGCUGCCCGGGACUGAGCCGUUUCGAGAAAAGCGGGGACUGCUGCUGUCGGGGCUUUCGGGCCUUGGCUUCGGUGGAAACCGCUUUAAUCGCAGUGGCUUGAACCGGGCAAAAGUCGUAACA
rnacentral:rRNA from 1 species